rnacentral:rRNA from 1 species
GACGAACGCUGGCGGCGUGCUUAACACAUGCAAGUCGAACGGAAAGGCCCUUCUUUUGUGGGGUUCUCGAGUGGCGAACGGGUGUGUAACACGUGUGUAACCUGCCCUUGACUUUGUGAUAACUUCAGGAAACUGGGGCUAAUACCCGAUAUGAUCUCCUGCUUCAUUGUGGUGGUUGGAAAUUUUCGGCGGUUGGGGAUGUACUCGCGGCUUAUCAGCUUGUUUGUGGGGUAGUGGCUUACCAAGGCUUUGACGGGUAGCCGGCCUGAGAGGGUGAACGGCCAAAUUGGGACUGAGAGACGGACCAGAAUCCUACGGGAGGCAGCAGUGGGGAAUAUUGCACAAUGGGCGGAAGCCUGAUGAAGCAACGCCGCGGGCGGGAUGACGGCCUUCGGGUUGUAAACCGCUUUCGCCUGUGACGAAGCGUGAGUGACGGUAAUGGGUAAAGAAGCACCGGCUAACUACGUG